rnacentral:rRNA from 1 species
GACGAACGCUGGCGGCGUGCCUAAUACAUGCAAGUUGAGCGCUGAAAGUUGGUACUUGUACCAACUGGAUGAGCAGCGAACGGGUGAGUAACGCGUGGGGAAUCUGCCUUUGAGCGGGGGACAACAUUUGGAAACGAAUGCUAAUACCGCAUAAAAACUUUAAACACAAGUUUUAAGUUUGAAAGAUGCAAUUGCAUCACUCAAAGAUGAUCCCGCGUUGUAUUAGCUAGUUGGUGAGGUAAAGGCUCACCAAGGCGAUGAUACAUAGCCGACCUGAGAGGGUGAUCGGCCACAUUGGGACUGAGACACGGCCCAAACGCCUACGGGAGGCAGCAGUAGGGAAUCUUCGGAAAUGGACGAAAGUCUGACCGAGCAACGCCGCGUGAGUGAAGAAGGUUUUCGGAUCGUAAAACUCUGUUGGUAGAGAAGAACGUUGGUGAGAGUGGAAAGCUCAUCAAGUGACGGUAACUACCCAGAAAGGGACGGCUAACUACGUG